GACGAACGCUGGCGGCGUGCUUAACACAUGCAAGUCGAACGGAAAGGCCCCUUUGGGGGUACUCGAGUGGCGAACGGGUGAGUAACACGUGAGUAACCUGCCCUUGACUUCGGGAUAACUUCAGGAAACUGGGGCUAAUACCGGAUAGGAAUCCUUGCUGCAUGGUGGGGGUUGGAAAGCUUCGGCGGUUUUGGAUGGACUCGCGGCUUAUCAGCUUGUUGGUGGGGUAGUGGCUUACCAAGGCUUUGACGGGUAGCCGGCCUGGGAGGGCGACCGGCCACAUUGGGACUGAGGUACGGCCCAGGCUCCUACGGGGGGCAGCAGUGGGGAAUAUUGCACCAUGGGCGGAAGCCUGAUGCAGCAACGCCGCGUGCGGGAUGACGGCCUUCGGGUUGUAAACCGCUUUCAGCAGGGGCGAAGCUUGUGGUGACGGUACCUGCAGAAGAAGCACCGGCUAACUACGUG
rnacentral:rRNA from 1 species